CCAAAGACAACCACAAAUUGAUAAUGAACCAUCGCAGGUAGGGGAACUGCCAAAAGCCAUCAACAACCCUCAGGUGGAAAAACAGGUAACAAAUCCAUACAACUUACGCAAGCGAAACCAUA